CAGCCGCCACGGUAAUACGUAGGUGGCAAGCGUUGUCCGGAAUUAUUGGGCGUAAAGGGCUCGCAGGCGGUUUCUUAAGUCUGAUGUGAAAGCCCCCGGCUCAACCGGGGAGGGUCAUUGGAAACUGGGAAACUUGAGUGCAGAAGAGGAAAGUGGAAUUCCACGUGUAGCGGUGAAAUGCGUAGAGAUGUGGAGGAACACCAGUGGCGAAGGCGACUCUCUGGUCUGUAACUGACGCUGAGGAGCGAAAGCGUGGGGAGCGAACAGGAUUAGAUACCCCGGUAGUCCCUGUCUCUUAUAC
rnacentral:rRNA from 1 species